UUAAGCGACUAAGCGUACACGGUGGAUGCCCUGGCAGUCAGAGGCGAUGAAGGACGUGCUAAUCUGCGAUAAGCGUCGGUAAGGUGAUAUGAACCGUUAUAACCGGCGAUUUCCGAAUGGGGAAACCCAGUGUGUUUCGACACACUAUCAUUAACUGAAUCCAUAGGUUAAUGAGGCGAACCGGGGGAACUGAAACAUCUAAGUACCCCGAGGAAAAGAAAUCAACCGAGAUUCCCCCAGUAGCGGCGAGCGAACGGGGAGGAGCCCAGAGCCUGAAUCAGUGUGUGUGUUAGUGGAAGCGUCUGGAAAGGCGCGCGAUACAGGUGACAGCCCGUACACAAAAUGCACAUACUGUGAGCUCGAUGAGUAGGGCGGGACACGUGGUAUCCUGUCUGAAUAUGGGGGGACCAUCCUCCAAGGCUAAAUACUCCUGACUGACCGAUAGUGAACCAGUACCGUGAGGGAAAGGCGAAAAGAACCCCGGCGAGGGAGGAAAAGAACCUGAAACCGUGUACGUACAAGCAGUGGGAGCCUCUUUAUGGGGUGACUGCGUACCUUUUAUAAUGGGUCAGCGACUUAUAUUCUGUAGCAAGGUUAACCGAAUAGGGGAGCCGAAGGAAACCGAGUCUUAACUGGGCGUUAAGUUGCAGGUAUAGACCCGAAACCCGGUGAUCAGCCAUGGGCAGGUUGAAGGUUGGGUAACACUAACUGGAGGACCGAACCGACUAAUGUUGAAAAUUAGCGGAUGACUUGUGGCUGGGGUGAAAGGCCAAUCAAACCGGGAGAUAGCUGGUUCUCCCGAAAGCUAUUUAGGUAGCGCCUCGUGAAUUCAUCUCCGGGGUAGAGCACUGUUUCGGCAAGGGGUCAUCCGACUUACCAACCCGAUGCAAACUGCGAAUACCGGAGAAUGUUAUCACGGGAGACACACGGCGGUGCUAACGUCCGUCGUGAAGACAACCCAGACCGCCAGCUAAGGUCCCAAAGUCAUGGUUAAGUGGGAAACGAUGUGGGAAGGCCCAGACAGCCGGAUGUUGGCUUAGAAGCAGCCAUCAUUUAAAGAAAGCGUAAUAGCUCACUGGUCGAGUCGGCCUGCGCGGAAGAUGUAACGGGCUAAACCAUGCACCGAAGCUGCGGCAGCGACGCUUAUGCGUUGUUGGGUAGGGAGCGUUCUGUAAGCCUGUGAAGGUGUACUGUGAGGUAUGCUGGAGGUAUCAGAAGUGCGAAUGCUGACAUAAGUAACGAUAAAGCGGGUGAAAAGCCCGCUCGCCGGAAGACCAAGGGUUCCUGUCCAACGUUAAUCGGGCAGGGUGAGUCGACCCUAAGGCGAGGCCGAAAGGCGUAGUCGAUGGGAAACAGGUUAAUAUUCCUGUACUUGGUGUUACUGCGAAGGGGGGACGGAGAAGGCUAUGUUGGCCGGGCGACGGUUGUCCCGGUUUAAGCGUGGCUGGUUUUCCGCAAAUCCGGAAAAUCAAGGCUGAGGCGUGAUGACGAGGCACUACGGUGCUGAAGCAACAAAUGCCCUGCUUCCGGAAAGCCUCUAAGCAUCAGGUAACAUCAAAUCGUACCCCAAACCGACACAGGUGGUCAGGUAGAGAAUACCAAGGCGCUUGAGAGAACUCGGGUGAAGGAACUAGGCAAAAUGGUGCCGUAACUUCGGGAGAAGGCACGCUGAUAUGUAGGUGAAGCGACUUGCUCGUGGAGCUGAAAUCAGUCGAAGAUACCAGCUGGCUGCAACUGUUUAUUAAAAACACAGCACUGUGCAAACACGAAAGUGGACGUAUACGGUGUGACGCCUGCCCGGUGCCGGAAGGUUAAUUGAUGGGGUUAGCGGUAACGCGAAGCUCUUGAUCGAAGCCCCGGUAAACGGCGGCCGUAACUAUAACGGUCCUAAGGUAGCGAAAUUCCUUGUCGGGUAAGUUCCGACCUGCACGAAUGGCGUAAUGAUGGCCAGGCUGUCUCCACCCGAGACUCAGUGAAAUUGAACUCGCUGUGAAGAUGCAGUGUACCCGCGGCAAGACGGAAAGACCCGUGAACCUUUACUAUAGCUUGACACUGAACAUUGAGCCUUGAUGUAGGAUAGGUGGGAGGCUUUGAAGUGUGGACGCCAGUCUGCAUGGAGCCGACCUGAAAUACCACCCUUUAAUGUUUGAUGUUCUAACGUUGGCCCCUGAUCGGGGUUGCGGACAGUGUCUGGUGGGUAGUUUGACUGGGGCGGUCUCCUCCUAAAGAGUAACGGAGGAGCACGAAGGUUGGCUAAUCCUGGUCGGACAUCAGGAGGUUAGUGCAAUGGCAUAAGCCAGCUUGACUGCGAGCGUGACGGCGCGAGCAGGUGCGAAAGCAGGUCAUAGUGAUCCGGUGGUUCUGAAUGGAAGGGCCAUCGCUCAACGGAUAAAAGGUACUCCGGGGAUAACAGGCUGAUACCGCCCAAGAGUUCAUAUCGACGGCGGUGUUUGGCACCUCGAUGUCGGCUCAUCACAUCCUGGGGCUGAAGUAGGUCCCAAGGGUAUGGCUGUUCGCCAUUUAAAGUGGUACGCGAGCUGGGUUUAGAACGUCGUGAGACAGUUCGGUCCCUAUCUGCCGUGGGCGCUGGAGAACUGAGGGGGGCUGCUCCUAGUACGAGAGGACCGGAGUGGACGCAUCACUGGUGUUCGGGUUGUCAUGCCAAUGGCACUGCCCGGUAGCUAAAUGCGGAAGAGAUAAGUGCUGAAAGCAUCUAAGCACGAAACUUGCCCCGAGAUGAGUUCUCCCUGAGACUUUAAGUCUCCUGAAGGAACGUUGAAGACGACGACGUUGAUAGGCCGGGUGUGUAAGCGCAGCGAUGCGUUGAGCUAACCGGUACUAAUGAACCGUGAGGCUUAACCU
rnacentral:rRNA from 1 species